rnacentral:lncRNA from 1 species
GCGGGAGGGGCUGAGAGUCUGUGCGAAGGUCGGUGGACAGACUGCACUGCUUGUUGUUGCGCUUCGGAGGCGGCGAUCCCCGAAGGCGAGCUGAAAUACGGCUGGAGCGUUCCCAGGCUACAGUUUGUAGCCGACGAUUAUGGAAGACUAAGAGCCGGAGAGGUGGCCCACCCUCAGGGAGCGCUUGUGCUCGGAGGGCUUCUCAUUUCCCCAAUACCACAUUAAAUCGUCUCAUCUGAGGAGGAUCCACAGAGCUGUCUUCUAUGGUAAUCUGGAGAAACUGGAGUACCUUCUGCUCAUGUAUCAUGACACCAAGGAGAGAGACAAGGAGGAAAGGCUCAGCCGCACCUGGGAUGUGGAAACCUUGGCGGGGGUGAGCACCCAGGCCAUUUUCACUAGCAGCAAAACAAAAACAAAACUUAAGCUGGUUUCCAAUCACUCACCAUGCUUCUUCUUUAUAAAUCAUUUUAAAGUGAUUUCGCCAAUAAAAUUCAGCAUGUACAGCGUUUUAUUUUUAAUGUACACAUUUUAAAGCAUAAUGUUACAUACAUUAUGGAAAGGUGCAUAAUGAGAGAAAUCAUUUCCAUAAUAUAUCAACU